AGAUGUGAGAAUGAUCUGGCUGUGAUAUCUGUCACACCAUUGAUUGGCAGGGUUGAUUUGGCUGGUCGGGCUGGCCAGAGAGGUGUCCCGUACUUCCCUCACUGCUCCAUGUGCGUCUCUUCCAAAGCUGUAUACUCAGUGAAAAAGAAUGACCAUCCUCUGAGAGAACCAUUUUUUUUGAUACUGGUAUAUGAAUAGCUGCACCCCACAGCUGAAACCUCCAAGCCAGCUCUCAAGAAAAUUGGCAUCUGGUAAAAUCUGUGAUAAAUCAAUAGUCAACAUCAUACUUACCUGAGAAAAACUUAAAAUUUGCCCUC
rnacentral:snRNA from 1 species